GCAUAAGAAUGUUCGCCUUAAAGCUUCGCAUCCUGCGAAAACGGCUAACUAAUUUGCAUAGGUAAA
rnacentral:sRNA from 1 species